CUGUCUUAACCUUGCACUCCUUCAGCCCUUCUUUAUUGUGCGGUACAAACCAGACACUGUUCAUAGCAGCUGGGAUACAGCAGUGAACAAGAGGGACAGACCCCUGCCCUUGAGGGGCGUGCACCCUAGUAGGGAACAGCAACCACAACCCAAACACACAGUACGUCACAAAAAGGACAGGCAGUGCAAGGACAGGUCAUGCUGAAGUAGGGGUGCUAUUUUAUACAAGGUUGCCUCGGAGGCCCCUCCUCCCUACAGAGAAUGGCAUGGGUGCACUGGGCUGAGGUCAAUCACCAAGGUCAAAUGGAACAUAACUCAUCCAAGAAGAUACACUCUUUCAGUUUUAGUAAUAAAAAUCCAGGGACUGUUUCUUAAUCCUUUAAAAUGGAAACACUUGUUGCUACCAGGCAUGGGGAGCUCGGUGGUUUCCAGGAACAGGGUGGGAGUUCGGCUGAACAGCCUUUUGUUAUCUUCAAGUUUGAACUACAUGAAAGUGUUCCCUUUUUAAAACAUUAAUUCAUUGAAAUAGGAAAGAAUUUAAAGUCUUUUGGAAAUGAUUAAUCAUUUUCAUGGAACUAUUUCCCUAAAGGGGACCUAUCUGCAUAUCUGCCAGCUGUGGCCAGAACGCAGCAGAUGCAGAACCCCCAGUGCUUGAGAGGGCAAAGCCUCAACCUCGAGGACAGCCAUUCAGCAACCUGUGAGCACUGACGACACGCAGGUGUCCAAGUGUACGAGGAGACCAGGCUAACAAGGGCCACAAAGGGAGAGGCACCUCGCGGGUGGGAGCGAGAGGGAGACACGACUUGGGAGCUGAAGAGCAGGGCGUCUGCGAGGAGCCCACAGCCCCUGGGGUCUCUCCUCCCUCAGUGGCUCUCCACCUUGGCCAUCGCUCUCACUCCUGAUCUUUGUCUUCAGGCAUCCAUCACUCUGCAUCCUAUCUGGAAAGCCACGGACAGAUGGCCACACUAAGGAGACCCCCUACUAAAGACUGGUCCACAAGACAGAACUGAGCCAGCAGCCUGGUUUUCUCCAAACUCCCCCGGUUUCUUUUCUGGUGAAGCUGGGGUCAGAGAGCACUUCACCAGGGUGGCCCCACGCAGGUGGAGGUGGUGGGCAGGGAGGGCUGGCUCUGUAUGUGGCAGAGGCCUGAAUAACAGGCACUUCAGAAGACUCGAGAUAUCCUGACCUGCUCCUCAACGUGACAAGCACAGGGCCAUGAACAGGCCUGGAAGGCAGG
rnacentral:lncRNA from 1 species